rnacentral:rRNA from 1 species
UACGUAGGUGACAAGCGUUAUCCGGAAUACUGGGCGUAAAGCGCACGCAGGCGGUGGGGUAAGUCUGAUGUGAAAUCUCCUGGCUUAACUGGGAGGGGUCAUUGGAAACUGCCGUACUUGAGGCGAUGAGAGGGGUGUAGAAUUCCCGGUGUAGUGGUGGAAUGCGUAGAUAUCAGGAGGAACACCUGUGGUGUAGACGGCUCUCUGGACAGUAACUGACGCUGAGACACGAAAGCGUGGGUAGCAAACAGG